rnacentral:rRNA from 1 species
GUUUGGACCUGGCUCAGGACGAACGCUGGCGGCGUGCUUAACACAUGCAAGUCGAACGAUGAUCUCCCGCUUGCGGGGGUGAUUAGUGGCGAACGGGUGAGUAAUACGUGAGUAACCUGCCCUUGACUCUGGGAUAAGCCUGGGAAACAGGGUCUAAUACUGGAUACGACCCCCUGUCGCAUGGUGGGGGGUGGAAAGGGUUUGACUGGUUUUGGAUGGGCUCACGGCCUAUCAGCUUGUUGGUGGGGUAAUGGCUCACCAAGGCGACGACGGGUAGCCGGCCUGAGAGGGUGACCGGCCACACUGGGACUGAGACACGGCCCAGACUCCUACGGGAGGCAGCAGUGGGGAAUAUUGCACAAUGGGCGGAAGCCUGAUGCACCGACGCCGCGUGAGGGAUGACGGCCUUCGGGUUGUAAACCUCUUUCAGCAGGGAAGAAGCCACAAGAGACGGUACCUGCAGAAGAAGCGCCGGCUAACUACGUGCCAGCAGCCGCGGUAAUACGUAGGGCGCACCCGUUGUCCGGAAUUAUUGGGCGUAAAGAGCUCGUAGGCGGUUUGUCGCGUCUGCUGUGAAAGCCCGGGGCUCACCCCGGGUCUGCAGUCGAUACGGGCAGACUAGAGUGCAGUAGGGGAGACUGGAAUACCUGGUGUAGCGGUGAAAUGCGCAGAUAUCAGGAGGAACACCGAUGGCGAAGGCAGCUCUCUGGGCUGUUACUGACGCUGAGGAGCGAAAGCAUGGGGAGCGAACAGGAUUAGAUACCCUGGUAGUCCAUGCCGUAAACGUUGGGCACUAGGUGUGGGGGACAUUCCUCGUUCUCCGCGCCGUAGCUAACGCAUUAAGUGCCCCGCCUGGGGAGAACGGCCGCAAGGCUAAAACUCAAAGGAAUUGACGGGGGCCCGCACAAGCGGCGGAGCAUGCGGAUUAAUUCGAUGCAACGCGAAGAACCUUACCAAGGCUUGACAUUCACCGGACCGCCUCAGAGAUGGGGUUUCCCUUCGGGGUCGGUGGACAGGUGGUCCAUGGUUGUCGUCAGCUCGUGUCGUGAGAUGUUGGGUUAAGUCCCGCAACGAGCGCAACCCUCGUUCUAUGUUGCCAGCACGUGAUGGUGGGGACUCAUAGGAGACUGCCGGGGUCAACUCGGAGGAAGGUGGGGAUGACGUCAAAUCAUCAUGCCCCUUAUGUCUUGGGCUUCACGCAUGCUACAAUGGCCGGUACAAAGGGUUGCGAUACUGUGAGGUGGAGCUAAUCCCAAAAAGCCGGUCUCAGUUCGGAUUGAGAUCUGCAACUCGACCUCAUGAAGUCGGAGUCGCUAGUAAUUGCAGAUCAGCAACGCUGCGGUGAAUACGUUCCCGGGCCUUGUACACACCGCCCGUCAAGUCACGAAAGUUGGUAACACCCGAAGCCGGUGGCCUAACCCCUUGUGGG